rnacentral:sRNA from 1 species
GAUUUGCGUGAAGGAUAGCAGCGGAAAUCCUUUUUUAGGGCUUUUUUGCCCAAAAAGAUUGCAGCGAAUAGCCUGGUCGCCG